GGGAAAUAAGGGGAUAGAGAAGUGAAGGAGGGGAAGAAGGAAAUGAGGUUAGAAGUAGUUAGUGUGUUAGAGGUGUUAGGAGAGUAAGUGCUCUUUGAAGAGCUCUGUCUUCAGGAGUUUCUUAAAGAUAGUGAGAGAUUCUCCUGAUCUGGUAGUGGAGGGUAGUUUGUUCCACCAUUGGGGAACUCUGUAUGAGAACAGUCUGGAUUGCUUUGUGUGAGUGUUUGUUUGGUAAAGCGAGGCGACGUUCAUUGGAGGAGCGCAGCGGCCGGGAGGUAGCGUAAGCCUUCAGGAGUGAGUGCAGGUAGGAAGGAGCUGUUCUGUCAUCACCUUGUAGGCGAUUGUAAGAGCUUUGAAUUUGAUGCGAGCAUCAACUGGUAGCCAGUGGAGCUCAAUGAGCAGCGGGGUGACAUGAGCCCGUUUUGGUU